CAAGCAAUCAGUUUCCAACUUGCCACACCUCCCUUCCCCUCUGAAUUCCAGCAGCUGAGCUCUUGGCAGAUAGAAGUGCAGCCUUCCUGAGCCUUGGUGGCCACACACAGGCAUUCAACAGGCACUCUCUGCAGAAAGACUUCCUGGGGUCUCUGUGCCCAAUAACAUCCCUAUUUACACCCCAACUUUUACUCUGUUCUUUUAACUCUAUUAUAUUAAUAGAGAUAAAAGGAUAAAGAGAUGAAGAGUUGACUGAACACUUAGUACUUUCUCUAUCUGAACUCUCAAAAUAAUACUACAAGCCCUGGUCCAGACUGAGCAAAAGAAGAUCAGGGAGUGCAGACUCCUUAUUCCCAGAACUGUGCCCAAGUCCCUGCAAUGGCUUCCUGGGUACCAAAUCUCACUGAGCUGGUGCUCUAAAAGUACCGUGGCCCUUGUUGGCUUCCAGUACUGAGGCUCUAAGGCAUAAAGUGCUUUCUGACAUUGACUCUGCAUUCAUGCAGAAGAGACACAAACCUCCUCCCCACCGUUUCCAGACAUCACCCUUUUCUCUGACCCUAAUGAGCAACUGAAGGGUGUCACAGUCAUAGAAAGAGGCUUAAAUCCACCUUAGAAGGGAAAAUGAAUGCAAACAAGAUACAAAUCAGCAAACCUCCCUGAACUUCAUCAGAAAGCAUGACCAAGCCCUUCCUUCCAGGGAUGGCUCUGUGGAAGAGGUUGGAGUCUGCUGGAGAGAUGCCAUGAGCAUCCUGGGACCUCUCUAGGGAGCUUUGGAAGGUGCCCACUUACCCUGCAUCUUGAUCUCCGUCUUCUCCAUUCAAGUCUCCAUCAGCCCCCUGACUUAGGAGACUUCCCUACCACUCAAGCGAGCAUAUCAAGACUGCCUCUUGUUGGACGCAAGCUGUCAUAUCUUCAGUGACUCUUGAGAGGGAUCUCCAUUCUCUGCCCUCACCUGCAUCUCCAUUCUCCUUCCUAGACUUAUGAAAUAGGCAUCAUGAAAAAUUGAAAAGUGAAGGAUUGCAGCUACAUUUAAACAUCAUAGACUCCUGGAUACAUAAUCCUGGGGGGGAUCAACCCUGGCUGCCGUCUGAGGUCUUUGGGAGCAUGGAUGGAGAUCAACCAUCGAUAUUGUUGAAAGGAUCAAGACCUGGGGUCCUAGAGGCUAAGAAGCAGUUUCUCUCUCCUGGAGUUGCUGUGCAAAAGUUGAAGAUAUAGAACAGAGAGCUUGGAGAGUGGCUGACUCAUUCAGCUUUUCAUAUGUCUGGUACCUUAAUGGUGAAAUGUGGGGCUAAACAUAGAAAUCAAGUAGCCCAAACUUGCAUUCAUGGAUGACAUAAGAGACCGAAGACCUUAAAAGCCUCAGUUUCAAUGUUCCAGCCUUCUUGUGUGUUGACGCUGGUAUUUGAAAUCUGGGGUCUUAUCUCCCACCCUAAACCUGUUUCCUACACAGGCUUAGUAAUGCCUCACAUGCUUGGAGUCACUUCCUAAUCCAUCUCUCUCUACUCAUCAUCCAUUCAGAGACAAUUUCCAGUCUUGCUCCUAAACCAGCAGAGAAAGAGAUUUCCUGCAUCAUCCUUGCCAGUAGUUGCAGUUGUCCCAUCUUUUAAAAUAUAGCAUCCACAGGAUGUUUAUGCAGUGCCUUCCUGAGGUUUUGAUUCAUAUUUCUACAAAGCCUACUGAUGCUGCACAUGUUCGUGUGUGUGUUUACUGGCCACUCGUGUAUCUGUUGUGGGGAAAAGUUUACUCAAAUUCUUUCCUUGAUUCUAAUUUUGUUUUGUUUUUAAUUUUGAGUUAGUUAUCAGGGGGCCUUCCUAUAUUCUAGAUAGAGUUUUGUUUUAUCACAUACAUGACUUGUAAAUACUUUCGUUCAUUUUAUAAGUUGUCUUUUCAUAGUCUCAGUGGCACCAUUUUGAGUAUAAAAGAUUUAAUUUCCAUUGUUUUCAGUGUUUGUAUAUUUUUUUGUAUUAGUCCAGAAACUACUGCCUAAACCAGUAUUUUUAUUUUAAAAAUGUAUUAUAUACAUUUUUGUUUAUGUAAUUUUUAGUGUGUGUGUGUGAGAGAGAGGUGGGGGGGCUCAGUUGUGGAGAUCAGAGGACAACUCGCAGGAAUUGGUUUUCCCUCCCAUUGUGUGGCCCUGGAGGUCAAACUCAGACACCAGUCUUGGUGGCAAGCACUCUGCUCACUGAGCCAUCCUGCCAACCCCAGAUCAUCAACUUUAAAGGGUACAUUCUCCCACUGGUUUUAAAUGUCUGUCUUUCUAGUAUUUACUAUUUUCCUCUUUGUUUCCCUGCCUUUCUUCAGCUGCCUCUUUUUUCCUUUUGGAUUGAUUACACAUUUCAUUUCCUUUUUUAUCUGCUCUGCCUGUAAAUCAUCUAUGAGUCUUCAUUAAUCUUGUGAUUGCCUUAGAGUUUAGAGUACACAUCUUAACUUAUCACAUACUACCUUUGAAUCAUAGUGUAUAUCACAUGUGUGGCAUAAAAGGUUUGAAGCUGUACAUUUCUACUUCUUCCUUUUAGACCUUGAUGAAAUUGUGGUCACACUUUACCCUUAUGUAUAUACUGCACGGUGACUGAUGUUGAAAUAGCUAAUCAUCUUUUAAAGAGAUUUAAAUAAUAAUUAAAAUGUUAUCACAUAAUUGCCAUCUCCUCUGCUGCUCCCUCCCUUGUAUGGGGUCAGACUCCCACCUGGCAUCAUUUUCCUUGUGAAAGGACUCACUCUUUGCUCCUCAACCCAUUCCAUUCAUUGGAAAUGGAAAGAAUGCUUCCAACCUCAGCUUAUAAAGCCAAACUCACCCUCUGAUGCCAAAAUUCAGUAAAAGCAUAGAAAAAUUAUAAAACCCGUGGAUCAAUUUUCUUGAUGGAUAUAGAUGAAAAAGUUCCUAAUAAAAAUAUUUGCAAACUUACUUCAACGAUGUUUUGAAAAGAUAGCACACCCUGAUAAAAUUUACUUCUUCCCAGGGAUACCAAGAUGGUUCAACAAGGCAAAUCAAUCAACAUACUUGUAUUACUUAUUUAUAUACUUAAUGACAUUAUUUACAUACUAUAUGUACUAUAUAAGAAUUAAAGGAGAGAUUACAUGCUCAUCUCAAUACAUUCAGGAAGGACCUUUGAUGGAACUCAUUCUAUGAUCCAAUCCUGGAGGAAACUAGAAACCUGGAAGACACAAAGAUUGUAUUUCAGCGUAACAAAGGCUAUAGAUGCCAACUCUGAAUUGCCAAUAUUAUAACUGAGUAAAGGAAAAGACUGACUUUCCUCUUAAAAAUGACACAAGACCUUGGGAUAUGUCUUACCUCCUGUGUUGAAGAAAUGAGUCUGCUCUUGCAGAAAGUGCUUUUGUAUCAGGAACAUGUAUACUAGGCCUUGUUCCUGUCCACAAGCUGAGCCCUGUGUACAUAAUCUAGACUGUUUUCCUAAUUUCUGCACUUUCAUAUUGUAUUUUUGCAAGAUAACAUAUUUGCAAGAUGACUAACUUGAUCUUUGCCUAAAUCCAAUGCAUGUAUAGGAAACUCACAGAGAUGAUAAUGUAAAUCUCGAGGGUGAAGGUAAAAUACAUAGGGGGCAAAAAUUAAACCUGUAUUUUUAAAAAUUGACCAAAAUCUAUUAGACAACAAGUUAAUGUGUGUAAUGCUAAAAUUUUGAGGGCUUUCAGAUUUCUCUAGCUACAUUUUCUGAAACCAUAAAAUUUCCAGGUUGUUUGUUUGUUCGUUCACUCAUUUGUUUGUUGGUUCAUUCAUUUGUUUGUUUGUAAUCAGCCCUUUGUACUUUACUGUGUGUUCUUGUCAUUGGUAUUAACUCCUGGGAUACUACUGCCUUUGUGUGUCUUUCCCUUUGAGAUAUGUGAUAUGUAAAUGUGAUAGAGUACAAUUUGUUGUAGUUUUGUUAAUGUAUUUAUUUCAUUCCUGUUUGCCUUAUU
rnacentral:lncRNA from 1 species